AGCGCCUACGGGACGCAGCAGUGAGGAAUAUUGGUCAAUGGGCGGAAGCCUGAACCAGCCAAGUCGCGUGAGGGAAUAAGGCCCUACGGGUCGUAAACCUCUUUUGCCGGGGAGCAAGGGCGGGGACGUGUCCCGGCCCGGAGAGUACCCGGAGAAAAAGCAUCGGCUAACUCCGUGCCAGCAGCCGCGGUAAUACGGAGGGUGCAAGCGUUACUCGGAAUCACUGGGCGUAAAGAGUGCGUAGGCGGGGUAAUAAGUC
rnacentral:rRNA from 1 species